UUCCUCUCCUCGAGUUCGCGCGGCCAUGGGGGCGUGGAGGAGGCUGCCGAUGGCGCUACUGCUGCUGCACGAUUCGUCGGUAUGACAAGAACGUGAGUCCUCCAGCAAGCGUUGGGUGCCAUUUACAGUGUUCCUCCUACCGUGAGGAGGCAAAGGGAUCAGUAUAGGCCGGGUUUUCCACAUCAUUUGUAUAUAAGCAAAGCAACUCUCACGCUCAACGAUUCCGCGAGGCCUCCGAUUCAGCGAGGACAGGUGGUUGCAGAGCAUCAGCAGCGUGGCUACAUGGAGGACGAGGCGUCGCUGGUUUGGUUAAAAGGAGCCGACAAGGAAUUGGAGAAGAAGGCACCUAACCGAGCAUAAUACAUAUCUUAUAUAUAGCAUAAUUUUAUCCAGAAGGAAGAUGAGCGGCCAAAGGAAAAGGAAAAAAGGGAAGCCACAUGCAAUAGAUAAUGUCAUGGAGGAACUGAGGUUGGAGAAAAAGCGUCGAGAAAAGAACGUGUCAGCCGACGCGGUGACGCCUCCAUGGUGUUGUACGACUAUGAGCUGAAGAUUGGGUGGGUCAAAUAUGUUGCUCUUCCAUCACAAGUACUGCCUGGUCCUCCUCCGGGACAUAUGGC